GACAGAACUGCUCCGUAGCUUUAACAGGAACAAAGGCAAAAGGAAGUAAUUUUACUUGCAAUUAACUGAUGCAAUAAUUUUUCACGAAUUGGCAGAGUCAAAGAAGAGCAUGUGGAGUUCGAAUCAGGAAGAAUAGCAUAGCUGUGAUUCAUAGGAAUACUCUCCUGAUCCCCAGGGGAAUUAAUACGGAGACCUCAAACAGGUUGGGCUGGAGGUUUUGUAUCCGUCACAAAUGCUCAAGAAUCUGGAAGUCGACUUUGUCUUUCCGGCAGAUGGCAAUAAGUCAUAAUGGAUGAGCAGGACAAAAGGAAUGUUCUGAUGAUGUGGAACAUUACCAUGAAACCAGG
rnacentral:lncRNA from 11 species